CAAAACUACCCUCAGAAACUAUUAAAGCUACUCUAUUAAAGUGAGUUUUUCCUAAAGGAACCCACUUGGAUGAGAUUAACUCAGAAACUUUAAGAAAUGAGCUACUCCACAGAAUUCCCAAUAGCUCAAGAUGAUGAUCAUGAUGCUAACCUCAAACCCAAAAUUCUGCACCUGACCCUGAACUUCAAACGCGUCUGCAGGAUUCAUUACAGCUCCAUAAUUCAUACUAUUGGCGUCGGAACGACCGGAAUUUCGUUAGCUAACCAUAGAGACAAACCACACUAAAUUCGGAGUUAUAGAGAAAGAGCAGUUACCAUUUUAGUGAGCCCCUGUCCAGAAUACGGGUUUCACAUACUUCUUCCAAUUCCCAAUUUCUAUUGUACCACAAAAUCACUUAUGAGUUUGAAAACCCAUAUAGGGAAAUCAAUGGCAGAACUGGAUCUUUGUAGAAAUCAUAAAACAAAACCAUAAAAAUCAAUAAUAUUAACCAAAGAUCAGAAAUAGAAGGUUUAAAAACAGAAAUUGAGAAAAUCUAAAUAGAAAUCAUAAAACAUAACCACCAAAAUCAAUAAUAUUAACCAAAGAUCAUAAAUAGAAGGUUUGAUUUCGUUGUACUACUAAACGUGGAAAUUCUUUUUCCUUUACCACAAACAUUGCAAUUUGAGUAGCAGAGCCCAAUGCAACAACUAAGGAAAUGUCCUGCAGCCAUGAAAGUACAUCAGUCUCAUUCUCAUAACCAAUUUAAUCAAACAAAAUCAGAACUAAAUGNNNNNCUCAAAAUGUAGUUUUUGCGAGGAUUAUGCCGGGCAAUGACACACAGUAAUUUGUCAAACUCAUGGUAAAUUCAGAUAUAAUGAAUUCAUCACUCCAACCUAAAUAUCAGAAAGAAAAACACACUCCAAUAACAAUAACCUUUUUUACUGCCAAUCUUUGUGAAUCUCUUCGAGUAACCUCUGCUAAUCUCUGCUUUCUACACAAAAUUAAUUCCACAUUAUUAAUUAACAAUCUUAUAAUAAACUCAAAAUUUAANNNNNNNNNNNNNNNNNNNNNNNNNNNNNNNNNNNNNNNNNNCAAUUAGUUAGUAUACAAUGUGAAUUUGUGAUAGAAUGAAAACGAAAUUGAAUACCUGAAGCGCAACCUCAAUAUCGGCGUCGACUACGGCGUAGAAUGCGUCCUAUGAAUAUGGUGAUAACUGAUAACCGAAAACAAUGCAAGAUCAUCAAUUAAGUCUAUAAAUUAACCUAUCUUAAAGGUAGGUCUACAUAACAAUAACAUGCUUACUAAUCUCUUUGAAUNNNNNNNNNNNNNNNNNNNNNNNNNNNNNNNNNNNNNGUUUAUCCUAAAUUCCACAACAUAUAGUCAUUUCAAUCAUGCUAAGGGCUUGUUUAAAUCAUUAAUUAGUUCAAUUAUAGAGUUAUCCUAAUUAAUCCUAAAAAUCCUAAGUUGACAUGCAUCAUGAAUUUGGGGAAAAGCUAAUAAAGCCACUCUAUUAAGUGAGAGUUUACCUAAAGGAACCCACCAGAUUUAACAACAGUACGGUGUUAUUUCGCAAGCCUAAAACCAUCCUUUUGUGCCGCUCGAGUACCCAAACCUGUAGUCCUCAAAACACCAUUUUGACAGCUUCAGUACCUCAACUUCAAACGCGUCCCUAGACCUCAUUUCCUAAUCAAAAAUUAUGAAAUUGGCAUCACAACGACCGGAAUUGAGUUAGCUAACCACAGAAACAAACGGCAUCUCAAUCAGAGUUACGAGGAGUGAGAAUUUACCUUUUUAGUGGAGUCUUGUCCUAGAACACGGGUUNNNNNNNNNNNNNNNNUAAACUCACAUGCAAUUUACCAAAUGAGAAGAAGUGAAGAAUGGUGUUUUGGAUUUUAACUUGAAUAGAAGAAGGAAAAAAAGUUUAUGGUUCUUACCUAUAACUUCUCUGUAAAACUUGAACGCCAUCAGAACCUCACACAUGCAAUCAAGUUCAUAAUUGAGUUCUUAAAAUGUGAUGAACACAGCAAGAAUUCAAAGGAAAUCCAUGGAUGUUUGAUACAAAAUUACCCUUACCUUGGAGCUUGAGAUGAGAGGAACCUAUUUAUGAAAUUGCAUGUUGAUUUAAGAUGAAAGUUUGGUGGUGUUUGGCUUGAUGAUGAUGAAACGAGAGAGGGUGAGAGCACGAGAGAGAGAUAGUGAGAGAGAGAAAAGAGAGAAGAGAGAGAAAAAAACUUCACAAAUGAAAAAAAAAAGGAAAAUUCUAGCGUGAGGUCAGUAAAAUGGCCUCUUUAGUGAGGUCAAUUGAAUUGCCCAAUAGAAUUUUAAGUGAUGCCACAUCAGCUCUACAUUGUAAUGAAGGUAUAUGAUAAGACUUUUUAAUGAAAAGUUUAAUUAUUG
rnacentral:lncRNA from 1 species